GAACGAAAGCAAACGAAACAGAGAAGAACAGGGGAGAAAGAAAGGAAAGAAGAAAGAAAAGGAGAAAUAAGGUUUAUGAAGCUUGGAGUUAAUUGCCAACAAAGAACCUGAAGCAUCAGCAUCGAAAGGAAAGGAGAAAGUCAUCGAGGACUAAAACGGGAGAAUUACGGUUAGUAGAAGUCAAGUGUCCCGGUUCAGCAUCCAGAACAAUCCCGACUCCAACACAAACUUGGUGAUGUAUAUUUUUCUUUU